rnacentral:rRNA from 1 species
UACAGCGGUCAUAGAUGGUUAAAAUUACAGAUCCUUUCAGAACUCGGAAUAUAAACGACCAGUCUUAUAGUUAGUACUAUACUGGGGACCAAUGUGAAUAUUAUGUACUGCUGAGA